rnacentral:rRNA from 1 species
GACGAACGCUGGCGGCGUGCUUAACACAUGCAAGUCGAACGGGAAGGCCCUGCUUUUGUGGGGUGCUCGAGUGGCGAACGGGUGAGUAACACGUGAGUAACCUGCCCUUGACUUUGGGAUAACUUCAGGAAACUGGGGCUAAUACCGGAUAGGAGCUCCUGCUGCAUGGUGGGGGUUGGAAAGUUUCGGCGGUUGGGGAUGGACUCGCGGCUUAUCAGCUUGUUGGUGGGGUAGUGGCUUACCAAGGCUUUGACGGGUAGCCGGCCUGAGAGGGUGGCCGGCCACAUUGGGACUGAGAUACGGCCCAGACUCCUACGGGAGGCAGCAGUGGGGAAUAUUGCACAAUGGGCGGAAGCCUGAUGCAGCAACGCCGCGUGCGGGAUGACGGCCUUCGGGUUGUAAACCGCUUUCGCCUGUGACGAAGCGUGAGUGACGGUAAUGGGUAAAGAAGCACCGGCUAACUACGUG